CCUACGGGGGGGCAGCAGUGGGGAAUAUUGGACAAUGGGGGCAACCCUGAUCCAGCCAUGCCGCGUGUGUGAAGAAGGCCCUCGGGUUGUAAAGCACUUUCAGUGAGGAAGAACGCCUGGUGGUUAAUACCCAUCAGGAAAGACAUCACUCACAGAAGAAGCACCGGCUAACUCCGUGCCAGCAGCCGCGGUAAUACGGAGGGUGCGAGCGUUAAUCGGAAUUACUGGGCGUAAAGCGCGCGUAGGUGGCUUGAUAAGCCGGUUGUGAAAGCCCCGGGCUCAACCUGGGAACGGCAUCCGGAACUGUCAAGCUAGAGUGCAGGAGAGGAAGGUAGAAUUCCCGGUGUAGCGGUGAAAUGCGUAGAGAUCGGGAGGAAUACCAGUGGCGAAGGCGGCCUUCUGGACUGACACUGACACUGAGGUGCGAAAGCGUGGGUAGCAAACAGGAUUAGAUACCCUUGUAGUC
rnacentral:rRNA from 1 species